UACAGAGGUCUCAAGCGUUGUUCGGAUUCAUUGGGCGUAAAGGGUGCGUAGGCGGCGCGGUAAGUCGGGUGUGAAAUUUCGAGGCUUAACUUCGAAACUGCAUUCGAUACUGCCGUGCUUGAGGACUGGAGAGGAGACUGGAAUUUACGGUGUAGCGGUGAAAUGCGUAGAUAUCGUAAGGAAGACCAGUGGCGAAGGCGGGGUCUCUGGACAGUUCCUGACGCUGAGGCACGAAGGUCAGGGGAGCAAACGGGG
rnacentral:rRNA from 1 species